rnacentral:rRNA from 1 species
AUCGCUUUCCCGCAAGGGACCGUAAUAUAGGUGCUGCAUGGCUGUCGUCAGCUCGUGUCGUGAGAUGUUGGGUUAAGUCCCGCAACGAGCGCAACCCUUACUUCCAGUUGCCAUCAUUAAGUUGGGCACUCUGGCAGAACCGCCUCGGAUAACGGGGAGGAAGGUGGGGAUGACGUCAAGUCCUCAUGGCCUUUAUGUCCAGGGCUACACACGUGCUACAAUGGCCGGUACAAACCGUCGCAAACCCGUGAGGGGGAGCUAAUCGGAAAAAGCCGGCCUCAGUUCGGAUCGCAGUCUGCAACUCGACUGCGUGAAGCUGGAAUCGCUAGUAAUCGCGGAUCAGAACGCCGCGGUGAAUACGUUCCCGGGCCUUGUACACACCGCCCGUCACAUCACGAAAGUGGGUUGUACUAGAAGUCGGUGAGCUAACCGCAAGGAAGCAGCCGCCCAAGGUGUAAUUCAUGAUUGGGGUGAAGUCGUAACAAGGUAGCCGUAGGAGAACCUGCGGCU